CGAGAUAUUGCUCAAUGGUAGAGCACUUGCCUAGCAUGUGUGAGACCCUGGGUUCAAUUCCCAGUACUGCAA
rnacentral:tRNA from 1 species